rnacentral:rRNA from 1 species
CGCGUGCACUGGUUCGGCCGGGCCUUUCCCUCUGGGGAGCCGCAUGCCCUUCACUGGGUGUGUCGGGGAACCAGGACUUUUACUUUGAACAAAUUAGAUCGCUUAAAGAAGGCCUAUGCUCGAAUACAUUAGCAUGGAAUAAUAGAAUAGGACGCGUGGUUCUAUUUUGUUGGUUUCUAGGACCGCCGUAAUGAUUAAUAGGGACAGUCGGGGGCAUCAGUAUUCAAUUGUCAGAGGUGAAAUUCUUGGAUUUAUUGAAGACUAACUACUGCGAAAGCAUUUGCCAAGGAUGUUUUCAUUAAUCAGGAACGAAAGUUAGGGGAUCGAAGACGAUCAGAUACCGUCGUAGUCUUAACCAUAAACUAUGCCGACUAGGGAUCGGACGAUGUUAUAUUUUGACUCGUUCGGCACCUUACACGAAAGUAAAGUUUCUGGGUUCUGGGGGGAGUAUGGUCGCAAGGCUGAAACUUAAAGAAAUUGACGGAAGGGCACCACCAGGGGUGGAGCCUGCGGCUUAAUUUGACUCAACACGGGGAAACUCACCAGGUCCAGACACAAGUAGGAUUGACAGAUUGAGAGCUCUUUCUUGAUUUUGUGGGUGGUGGUGCAUGGGCCGUUCUUAGUUGGUGGAGUGAUUUGUCUGCUUAAUUGCGAUAACGAACGAGACCUUAACCUGCUAAAUAGCCCGCAUUGCUUUGGCAGUGCGCCGGCUUCUUAGAGGGACUAUCGG